CAAGUACUCCCGCCGUUCGGAAUUACUUGUCUCGAAAAUGGAUGUAUCUAGAACAAAAAUACGUCUAGAUACAUCCAUUUCCGAGACAAGUAAUUCCGAACAGAGGGAGUAUGAG
rfam:Triticum aestivum genome assembly, contig: Triticum_aestivum_CS42_TGACv1_scaffold_224671_3B